rnacentral:rRNA from 1 species
UACGUAGGGGGCAAGCGUUGUCCGGAAUCAUUGGGCGUAAAGCGCGUGUAGGCGGCUCGGUAAGUCUGCUGUGAAAGUCCAGGGCUCAACCCUGGGAUGCCGGUGGAUACUGUCGAGCUCGAGUCCGGAAGAGGCGAGUGGAAUUCCUGGUGUAGCGGUGAAAUGCGUAGAUAUGCGGAGGAACACCGAUGGCGAAGGCAUCCCCUGGGCCUGCACUGACGC